AAACAAAGCGUUGUCAUGAGAACUGCUAAGUGUGUAGGACUCUGAGGUCAACUCAUAUAUAGCCCUGAACUAAGUAUCCGACAGUGUAAAAUACCAUUCAACUACGCGUGUCAUACCGAUUCCCGACAAUAAUUAAUUAGUUUAAAAAAAACAACAAUUAGUGGCGUAUUAUUACAGGGCUUAACAAACAAUAAAAAAAAAAUAUUUUUGUUUCAAAUUCUCCAUACUAUAAACAUGUAUGAACUGUUUGUCAUGAGAGAUUUCACGAAAAACGAGCCCAGUUUGAAACCGACAAAUAAGAAGUUCAAGUUGAAUUGCGCAGACAAGUUGUUAUUUCAUGACAUCGAGAUAUGUCCACAGAACAACAGUCCUACAGUUUGGACCGUUGCAACCUUGGACAUUACGUUGAAACACUAAAAAAGUAUUUAAACCCAAUGAAAGGAGGUUGACUGUCACAGUAGCGAACUGAUCAAGGCAGCGACAUCAUCGGUGAAGCCUGAACUGUACUGGUAACACGAUACCGAGAACAAAAAGUUCGAAUCUCGACAUCAACUGCUCAAAAUGAACCGCCUUAUUCUUGUCACCUUCACAUUGCUCUUCUCAUUGUACGCCUUCGACACGGUGUUCUCUCAACUCUUGCCACCCCCUGUAGGAUUCCCACCCACCUUGGCCUUCGGAGGCUCCGACUCUGACAGCGUCCGGAGAUUGGCCUGCCUUCAGUGCAUCACCACCAGCAACCCAAAUGCUUGCGUCUUAUGCGCUGCAAGUUAUUUCAUUGAGGAUUAAACGCUCGCUAGGAACGAAUACUUCCCAACGUAACUCCAAGUGACGUUUUUAUUGUUGCUGUGACCUAUCCUAGGGGGAACCCCCCAGUGUCUUCUGUACAGAAAGUUAUAAGAGAUGUGCCUGACUAAAAGAACAUAAUAAACGACUGUGGUCUGAAUGAAUGUUGAAAUGAGACUGUGCGAAAACUUGAUAUUUACUUCAAGAUGAAAAUAAACGAAACACUAAGCUUAA